rnacentral:rRNA from 1 species
GACGAACGCUGGCGGCGUGCUUAACACAUGCAAGUCGAACGGAAAGGCCCUGCUUUUGUGGGGUGCUCGAGUGGCGAACGGGUGAGUAACACGUGAGUAACCUGCCCUUGACUUUGGUAUAACUUCAGGAAACUGGGGUUACUACCGUAUAGGAGCUCCUGUUGCAUGGUGGGGGUUGGAAAUUUUCGGCGUUUGGGGAUGGAUGCGCGGCUUAUCAGUUUGUUGGUGGGGUAGUGGCUUACCAAGGCUUUGACGGGUAGCCGGCCUGUGAGGGUGACCGGCCACAUUGGGACUGAGAUACGGACCAGACUCGUACGGGAGGCAGCAGUGGGGAAUAUUGCACAAUGAGAGGAAGCCUGAUGCAGAAACGCCGCGGGCGGGAUGACGGCCUGCGGGUUGUAAACAGCAGUAGCCUGUGACGAAGCGUGAGUGACGGUAAUGGGUAAAGAAGCACCGGCUAACUACGUG